GGGGGUAGGGGAACCGUGUCAGAACUGUCUGUCUGAGAAACUUUCUCUUAGAUCACCAGUCAGUAGGGUACCAGCAUCUGCCGAUGCCAACCAAAAGGCAUGAGUCACAGCGGACAGCUUUAGAAAACACAUUUCCUUCCACUGUUAGCAAUGCAUGACUCACUAGACCUCUCCAGAUUCUCCACUCCACAAAUGACUCGAGAAGUCUACCAAGGACAGAGCACAAACCUUUCUCUCUUCUCCUGCCAGGAUUUCUCAUUUCAAUUAUCACUGACUUGUUGACUUACUUCAAAGACAGUAUACAUCUUGGUCUGUUCUCUGUCCUCUCUCAAAAACUGGUGGUGUGUGAUUUACCUAAAGAUGGCUCCUGAAGGGCUGCAGGAGAACAGAGAUUGAACAUUAUAGUUCAUGCCCAAAGCAGUCGUCAACUGGUCAACUUUUGCUACUUCGGAAACUGAGCUGUGAGACUUUAAAUACUUGGUGCUACAUUUGAAUCCUGAAUACCUGAGUGCAACCCCCAGCCAGCUGGAAUAGAGACUUUCAAUGGCUGUAAACUCUGAGUGGUCUCCUCUGUGUUUCCUCGGAACCUUGGAGGAAGAAUUUGACACAGAUGCGCUCAGUUACUUCUUCUGAGGAUGUUGAACAGUUAUGAGUCUCUUCAUUAACCACCACCUUCUGCACUAAGAAGUUUCUCUGACCAAGGUUGAGAGCAGUGCUGAUGUGUUGAUAAAAGCCCAGUGGCGAGCUUGGCUCAGAAACAUUUUAAAAUCAGCUGAAUGGGUCUGAUGUCCAGUGUACGUGAGCACAAGGGACAGGUCACAGAAGGUCUAGACAGAAAGAUAGCUCUGGCUUCUGUUAGUGUGAUAAAAGGGGGUGGAGAGAUGGGAGAUAGCAUCCAUACGACAGAGCAGCUAGCUGAAAACAGGAUAUGGGAAGCCUGAAAAGACUGUUUACAAGUGAUUUAUGGGUCAAGUGCUUUUUUGUGGAACAACAACAACAACAAAAAAGUGGAUCCUGGCUAUGGAUGAAACUAUCGUAUAUUGGACAUUGAUUCAAAGCAUAUACUGCCUUCUGGGGAACCCUGUCCCAGCCCUACAGUCGAAUUGGAGAUGAAACUGCGUCUUCAAAAGAUCAUUCCAUUUUUCUAUCAAGCCAGCUGACUCAGGAUGGUGGGAAACAUGUUAUAGGUUCAUCACAUGAUCAUUAAGACAAGUUAGAGUCCCGGCACAUCAUCCUGUCCCACAGAGGAGAAAUUUGUGUGAACAAUGUGGGUGUCUGAGUGUUACUUGAGGGCUCUGCUUCCUACCUGUGACUGCCAUGUGACCAGCAGCCUCCAGCUCCUGCUGCCUUCACUCCUGCCAUGGUGAUAAACUGAAGCAGAAGUGGAAGAGGAACCUGGAAGAAAUCCUAUCUUCCCAAGUUGCUUCUGCCAUAGCAACCUGAGAAGAAAUUGGGACGCCCUCCACCAUAUAAUUCAACUGUAAUUUGCUUGCACAGUGCCCUUCUUCAGAAGAAAGAGAAUAAAGUUAGGCUUUUGUCUUUAUUUUUCUGGCUUGAGUUUAGAUGUCAGAUAUUCCCCAUGCAGAUUAAAAACACUUGCCAGGUUAUCAGGCUAGUCAAGGUAAAUGCUUACACGUGACUUAUUUGGUAGCAAAAUAAAUGACAUAGCUUCUUUGAAUCCAUCAGUGACAAAAUGAAGCCAUUUACCAAACACUGUAUCCGACAGUCUGUGAUACUGGACUGAAAUUCAAUCACCAUCUGUGUUAUGAUUCAUGACAAUGAUAAAAACAGAGACUGUUAGACUGUUUUCAAAAUACUAAGUAUACAAAAAACUAAAUGUGGCAUUUGUUACACUUUAUUAUUUGAAUGUAUUUUGAGUGUAUUGACCCUGGAAAUGCAUUGUGGUUUCCGGAAUAAAGUUUUUUCUUUAAUCUGA